GUGUUGUACAAAUGGAGAGACGGCUAGCACUCCCCUUGACAAGGAUGGAACACGUAUAAGGUUGACGCACCGCUUGACCCAUUGUCUUAU